rnacentral:rRNA from 1 species
CCGGAGUGGACGCAUCACUGGUGUUCGGGUUGUCAUGCCAAUGGCACUGCCCGGUAGCUAAAUGCGGAAGAGAUAAGUGCUGAAAGCAUCUAAGCACGAAACUUGCCCCGAGAUGAGUUCUCCCUGACUCCUUGAGAGUCCUGAAGGAACGUUGAAGACGACGACGUUGAUAGGUCGGAUGUGUAAGCGCAGCGAUGCGUUGAGCUAACCGAUACUAAUGAACCGUGAGGCUUAACCUUACAACGCCGAAG